rnacentral:rRNA from 1 species
UAACUUGUCUGCAAGUAUGAGAUUUUUCUCUCGAAAAUCUCGUGCGAAAUGAAUGUGAAAGUCUUCUUUCGAAGACUGACGGAUGAUCUCGGGUGAUUGCCCUUUGCGGGACGACCCGAGCGCAAUCCGGGGGCACCGGAGCCGCUAUUGCCGGUCUGGUGCACCAAGAGCAUACACGUUGGGACCCGAAAGAUGGUGAACUAUGCCUGGCAAGGACGAAGCCAGGGGAAACCCUGGUGGAGGUCCGUUUGGAUUCUGACGUGCAAAUCGAUCCUCAAAGCUGGGUAUAGGGGCGAAAGACUAAUCGAACCAUCUAGUAGCUGGUUCCUCCCGAAGUUUCCCUCAGGAUAGCUGGUACUCGUUGCAAGUUUCAUCCGGUAAAGCGAAUGAUUAGAGGUCUUGGGGUCGAAAUGACCUCAACCUAUUCUCAAACUUUAAAUGGGUGAGAUGCCGGGCUUGCUUGAAUGAAGCUCCAGGCAUUCGGAAUUGUAAGAGGACCAAGUGGGCCACUUUUGGUAAGCAGAACUGGCGCUGUGGGAUGAACCAAACGUCGAGUUACGGCGCCCUAAUGAACGCAAAUCUGAUCCCAUGAAGGGUGUCGGUUGCUCCAGACAGCAGGACGGUGGCCAUGGAAGUCG